rnacentral:rRNA from 1 species
CCUGAUUUAGCGGCGGACGGGUGAGUAAUGCCUAGGAAUCUGCCUGGUAGUGGGGGAUAACGUUCCGAAAGGAACGCUAAUACCGCAUACGUCCUACGGGAGAAAGCAGGGGACCUUCGGGCCUUGCGCUAUCAGAUGAGCCUAGGUCGGAUUAGCUAGUUGGUGAGGUAAUGGCUCACCAAGGCGACGAUCCGUAACUGGUCUGAGAGGAUGAUCAGUCACACUGGAACUGAGACACGGUCCAGACUCCUACGGGAGGCAGCAGUGGGGAAUAUUGGACAAUGGGCGAAAGCCUGAUCCAGCCAUGCCGCGUGUGUGAAGAAGGUCUUCGGAUUGUAAAGCACUUUAAGUUGGGAGGAAGGGCAGUGAGCUAAUACCUUGCUGUUUUGACGUUACCGACAGAAUAAGCACCGGCUAACUUCGUGCCAGCAGCCGCGGUAAUACGAAGGGUGCAAGCGUUAAUCGGAAUUACUGGGCGUAAAGCGCGCGUAGGUGGUUCGUUAAGUUGGAUGUGAAAU